rnacentral:RNase_P_RNA from 1 species
UGAGUCGGCCAGGCGGUCGCGUCACUCCGGCUCCGGCCGGGGUGCCGAGGAACGUCCGGGCUCCGUAGGGCGGGGUGGUGGGUAACGCCCACCCGGGGUGACCCGCGGGACAGUGCCACAGAAAGCAGACCGCCCUCCUGGUCCGCCAGGAGGGUAAGGGUGAAACGGUGGUGUAAGAGACCACCAGCACGGCGGGUGACCGUCGUGGCUAGGUAAACCCCACCCGGAGCAAGACCAGACAGCAGGCGUUCGAGGGUUGCCCGCCCGAGCCUGCGGGUAGGUCGCUGGAGGCGUGCGGCAACGCACGUCGUAGAUGGAUGGCCGCCACCGCGGUGCCUGGCACCGCGGGACAGAACCCGGCGUACCGGCCGACUCAUCCG